ACUGUAACGGUCUCUUUGGCGCCAUUAUACUGAGGUCGUUUUAUUUUCCUCAUUUCUUACAUUUGGAUUGACACAAUUUGCCCUACACCAUGUCUACAACGCCGCAGCAGCUUGGGACUGACUACUGGAUGUGUUACAUCGCUUCUAAUGAUUGGAAAAUCCGUUUGUGCGCGAGCGCUUGGAGUACAUCUGUACAUCAGAAAUAUACCGGGGCAUCACAUUACUGUCCACAUCCACUGUAGAUAGUAUAUAUAAUUGGUUCUAUAUUGUUUUUUAUCGAGUCGCGCCUCGCCGCGCCACUCGCGUCCGAGAAAGACACGGAAGCAGCGGCGCCACAGGUUUUUCCCGGGGAUGAACCCGCGAGAGUGGGAGAGCUCCGGAGAACAUCUGCGCUGUGUGUCGAUGCACUUUACGAGAGAAUAAGACCAGCAAGCAAGGCAACUGCAAUGAAGCAUCAAGAAAGACAUGAGCAGGCCAGCCACCCUGAGACUGAUAAUUCAAGAGAAGACAUUUCUGUCAAAGUGGAGGGUGAGCAAAGAUGGUGGCCACGUUUUGGAGCAGCACCUGGGUUUUGCAGACGGCUAUAUAUUCUCUGGCUGCUUGUCUUUUUCCCCCCAUUAUGUUUCUGCACAUAAUGCAACAUAAUGCAUAAUGCACUGCAAAACGUCCUAAGACAGGAGAAAUGGUGAAGAUGCACUGUUCCACCAUGGGAAGACUGUA